UGCGUAGGGGGCAAGCGUUGUCCGGAUUUAUUGGGCGUAAAGAGCGUGUAGGCGGCUAGAUAGGUCCGUUGUGAAAACUCGAGGCUCAACCUCGAGACGUCGAUGGAAACCAUCUGGCUAGAGUCCGGAAGAGGAGAGUGGAAUUCCUGGUGUAGCGGUGAAAUGCGCAGAUAUCAGGAAGAACACCCGUGGCGAAGGCGGCUCUCUGGUACGUGACUGACGCUGAGACGCGAAAGCGUGGGGAGCGAACAGG
rnacentral:rRNA from 1 species